rnacentral:rRNA from 1 species
CCUACGGGGGGCAGCAGUGAGGAAUAUUGGUCAAUGGGCGCGAGCCUGAACCAGCCAAGUAGCGUGAAGGAUGACUGCCCUACGGGUUGUAAACUUCUUUUAUAAAGGAAUAAAGUGAGGCACGUGUGCCUUUUUGUAUGUACUUUAUGAAUAAGGAUCGGCUAACUCCGUGCCAGCAGCCGCGGUAAUACGGAGGAUCCGAGCGUUAUCCGGAUUUAUUGGGUUUAAAGGGAGCGUAGAUGGGUUGUUAAGUCAGUUGUGAAAGUUUGCGGCUCAACCGUAAAAUUGCAAUUGAUACUGGCAGCCUUGAGUACAGUUGAGGUAGGCGGAAUGCGUGGUGUAGCGGUGAAAUGCAUAGAUAUCACGCAGAACUCCGAUUGCGAAGGCAGCUUACUAAACUAUAACUGACACUGAAGCACGAAAGCGUGGGGAUCAAACAGGAUUAGAUACCCGUGUAGUC